rnacentral:rRNA from 1 species
GGGUAGUCCGCAACGAGCGCAACCCUUAUCCUUUGUUGCCAGCACGUAAUGGUGGGAACUCAAAGGAGACUGCCGGGGAUAAACCGGAGGAAGGGGGGGAUGACGUCAAGUCAUCAUGGCCCUUACGAGUAGGGCUACACACGUGCUACAAUGGCAGAUACAAAGAGAAGCGACCUCGCGAGAGCAAGCGGAACUCAUAAAGUCUGUCGUAGUCCGGAUUGGAGUCUGCAACUCGACUCCAUGAAGUCGGAAUCGCUAGUAAUCGUAAAUCAAAAUGCUACGGUGAAUACGUUCCCGGGCCUUGUACACACCGCCCGA